rnacentral:SRP_RNA from 1 species
CGGCGGGUCUAGGCGGGGGGCUAGGGGUCCCCUGAAGGGCUUCUCGGCCUCGACCGUAAACCCUCUAUACGACGGGCUGAAAGCUGAGGUGAGGCGCAGAAGAACAUCAAGUCCAUCAGCCUUCUAACAGUGAGUAUCCGUCCCUUGGGGCUGGCGGUCGUGGAGCGGCCUCCGUAGGGGGGCCGUGACCGUGUUUACCAGGCGAACCUGGCCAGGCCCGGGAGGGAGCAACCUAAGUUUGGACGUUCAGCGCUCAGGGGGGUGCGGGUAUGAGUGAAGGGGCUGGCUGGUCUGGUGGAAACUGUGCGUCGAUCCUCGGGACCCGCUG